rnacentral:rRNA from 1 species
AGUGAACGCUGGCGGUAGGCCUAACACAUGCAAGUCGAACGGCAGCACAGUAAGAGCUUGCUCUUACGGGUGGCGAGUGGCGGACGGGUGAGGAAUACAUCGGAAUCUACUUUUUCGUGGGGGAUAACGUAGGGAAACUUACGCUAAUACCGCAUACGACCUACGGGUGAAAGCAGGAGAUCUUCGGACCUUGCGCGAUUGAAUGAGCCGAUGUCGGAUUAGCUAGUUGGCGGGGUAAAGGCCCACCAAGGCGACGAUCCGUAGCUGGUCUGAGAGGAUGAUCAGCCACACUGGAACUGAGACACGGUCCAGACGCCUACGGGAGGCAGCAGUGGGGAAUAUGGGACAAUGGGCGCAAGCCUGAUCCAGCCAUACCGCGUGGGUGAAGAAGGCCUUCGGGUUGUAAAGCCCUUUUGUUGGGAAAGAAAAGCAGCAGGUUAAUACCCCGCUGUUCUGACGGUACCCAAAGAAUAAGCACCGGCUAACUUCGU